GACUUCCAAAAUUGGCAUCGGGACAGAGCAGGGCUGGCGGGAGGCAGGCAAAAGACGGAAUUUUCCUGAAAAAACGGGGGGGACCAGGAUCUCAGGGGAGAGUAGCUGAGGCCUUGCUCGGAGUCCCAGGAGAUCCACAGGUCCGGCAUGAACAGUGAGAGGUCAGAGGUGGAAGGCUCAGCAGGAGAGGAGAGGAGGAUCAGCAGAGGUCAUGAGAAGGCCAGAAUCCAGGGUCAGGCUGUCUGGAACAGGAAGUAAAAUGGGCCGAGAUGGAGCGAGCCCCCAGUGUGCUUCCAAGGCCACUCCCACCUCCCUGAAACACCCUGCUACGUACUGAUCCAAUGCCCUGCGCUGUGUAUGAGAGCACCUUCUCUUCUGAAACCCCUAUACAAGGGAGGGGCCCCUGCGGAGACCGUGCCCUGCCAUCCAGGUGAGCCCUUUCUCCCCAACCCCGUCAGCUGUGUGGGAGGAGGAGGACUCCUACCCUGGUCGAAGUUGAGUUUCUUAGCUGGAGGAGUUUCUCCUAGCCCUUCAAUAUCCACCACGUCACUGUUGGCAUCGGAGUCGUUCAGAGCACUGAGUGUCACAUCUGGGAAGGGGGCAUAAGCUAGGUUCUAGGUUCCCCUGACAGCCUCUCCCCCAGCCCCAAGCUUCCCAAAGCUUUGUGCCUCCUCUCCCCUCCCCUCUGCCCCUCUCUGGGAACCUCCACAGGGACAGGAAGAGAGACUGACCCUUCUUUGACCCAGGCCCAAUUCUCUCACUAAACCUCAGAUGGGACCUUUAACCCCUAGGCAGCAACUCCACAGCCCUCACCAGCCUUCUGUUUCUUUAUGGGGGGACCCCCGGCCUCAGGGACACUGGAGCUGCUGGGAGGAGGGGCAGCUGGAGGAGGUGACAAGACACCAGAUGCCACCUUCUUGGGCCCUUUCUUGGGUGACUCAGCUGGAAGGGGGAUGCCAGAAUCUUCAUAUACCUUGCGUUUCACAGUGGCCUUUAUCUGGGCCCUGAAGAAAAGAGAGAAGAGGUUAGGAAAGGAGUCAUCAGAGAGACUAACAGAAGAGGGGACGGGAGGGGAAGGGGUUCUGGGAGUCCCUUCAUAAGAAUCCAGGUCGGGGCCCCAACCCAUUGGUAGGGUUCUCACUUUCUCGAAGUUUUACACUCACUCAGGAUGGAUGGAGUGUGGAGAGUGGAGUCCCUGAACUGAGUAGUGGGAAAGGCCCAUCUCCUAAUUCUCUUCUGGGAGAGACAUCAGGUAGAGCUUGGUGAUUUACAGGUGGAUUGAGAUUUACUGAUCAACUAGUUCAGGGUCACCAUAUCCCUGGAAACACUGCAGUGGGGUCCUCAAACAUUUAUAUAAAUAACCAGGGGACUUCCAUCAUCAAAUACAAUAACAGCAUCUCAGGCAACCUAAAUUCACAUUCUUGGAAGGAUUACCACAGCAUUUUAGGAACUUCUGACCAACUGUGACAAUUCUAUUCUUUCAGUCCUCAAGGGGAUUCUAAAAAACUAGUGACAAAGUAGGGAAGCAGCUGAGCUGGAAAGGAGUUCUGAGGACGAUGGAACCUUGGGUAAGGAGGAAGAAGGCUGCCCACCCGCCCUUUUCUGGCAGCCACCCUCCCUCACACUGUCCGUUCCUUGAUGACACAGCUGAUGUGAUUAAGAUCGUCCCCAAAUCGCUUCACAGCAGCCCUCAGCAUCUCUAUUUCCGUCUCCGUCCACUUCGCACUGUCAGAAGGGGAGAGGGGGGAUAGCAAAAAUGGGAGGGGGGGUGUGGAGCCCGCCCACAGGCUAUGCAUCCCACAGCCAACCAGCCGCCUCCUUCCGAUUUCUGGGACCCCUUCCACGGAUGCAUAAAGAGGUCCUCCGUAAGGGGAGGCGGAAAGCUCUUGAGGCCCUGCGGGAACCGGGAGGACCCCAAUCACAAGAAAUCACAACCACCUCCACCUUAGACACCCCUUUCCACCAUCAACGUUAAACGGCUGCUGUACACAGCACACUGAAACCAACUCGCCAGGAAGGGCUUUUCAAAACAGACCCACCAACACAGCCUGCAGCCGUCUGGGGGAAUUCCAUGAACUGGGGUGGUUGGGAGUGGCGGUGGUUUGUGGUCGACCCGUUCGCAGCAGGGAGAACUGUGAAACAGGAGUCUGGGCUAUGGGCCUGUCUGUAUUUUUAUCUGUCAUUCAUUCCCUCACCCAACGAUCAUUUAUUAACACCGACUCUGUGCUGUGCCACGCACAAAGGGAAACUAAUGUCUGUCCCUGUGCUAGAGAGGGUCCGUGUCUGUGACCGAGUCCAAGCGCCCGCUCUCAGCGUCCACGUCCCAGUCCGGGCUCACGUACCCCGCAGGAGAAGAGUCGGCCACGGGAUGCAGCUGCAUCGUCAGCUCCCCGAGCUUCGUGAAGGCGGCGCCGGCCGCCGAGAAGAUCUCUCCGACCUGGGGGCGGGGCAGCGUCACGGGGGGCCGGCGCCCGCCCUCCCCGUCCCGCCCGGAGCCCCUAGCCCCACCCCAGGCUCGGCUCCCGCCCGCCCCCCGCCCGGGGCGGAAGAGCCGCGAGCCAAGUGGGGGGCCCGCCCUCCCGUGGCCGCCAGGGAGCGCUGUCCGCGAGGGAGGUCGAACCUUUGUGGACGCUGACGUCAUGGCCCCGCGCGCCUCCUCACGGAGACGCCGCCGCCGCCGCUACACGCGAGCCGGGACCACGGAGAGCAGGGAGACUGAGCGGCUCGGGCCCCCGCGCAGGAAGUCCCGCCCUCCCCGCAGCGGAUAGGCUCAACCCGGCGGCUCCCCGCCCCAUCAGACGCAGUCGCUUAGACCGCUCGGCGCGCCCAGUCGAUGGGGAAAGCCUUCGCCUCACUUCCGCGCCACACUUCGCUCCACUUCCGCUCAGACAUCGGGACUUUCCAGGCAGAGGCCGACCUCUAGUCUCAGCCCCGUGCUCGCCCCCACUCAAGCACAGACACAGGGCUGAAGAGAGCAGAUUCUCUUUAUUGAGAUACGGGACACAGCGAAGGGUGGAGAAACGGAACAGCCCCCCAGCCUCAGCCCUCUCCACGGGGGCCGGAUGCCAGAGAUGGGAGAAGGGAUUCAGUCUCUCGCCCGGGAAACCCAGUCCCGCAGAGGGCGCCGGCAAGGGUGGGACGCGACCUGGGUGACACGGUGCAGGGAGUCUUUAAAUAGAGGAGGGGCUGGAGCGGGGAAACGCGCCGGGGCCCUAGCGCACCAUGUAUUCCUUGCGCUUAUUGAGCCGAACUUGGCAGAAAGAGAAGCCUCCGAGGAGGAGGUAAAGGCCUGCAGCGAUGAAACAGUUGUAGCUGACUUGCUCGUAAAGGUUGUAUAUGUUCUGGGGGCCAUUCCUGGGGGUGGGAAUGAAGCAAAGGGGUCAAACUUUAAUAGGAGCCAACAUUUUCUGAGCACUAUGUGCCCGACACCUGUUUAGGCGCUGUUACGUGUAUUACUUUAUUCAAUCUUCUUGACCAUCCUAUGGGGUGAGAUCUGUCAUAGCCAUUUUGCAGAGGUGGACUGAGAAGCACAGAAAAGUAAAAUACCUAAAGAGGUCACACCUAAGGUGGUGGGUUUGGGAUGGCCGCUGAGGUCUGACUCCCUGGCUCCUAACCACAUUCUCAAGAAAGCCGCUCUCCUCUCCAAGUCCUCUAACCUAGGGGCCCUAAGCACCGGGCCUCCCAGACGUAAUUCUGACCCUAGGCCUCGCCACCUCCCACCUGCUCCCAGCCCGCCUCCCCCACCCGAAUACUUACUCAAAAUCUUUCUCCGUGAAGGGAACGUCCUCAAUCAACACAGCGGAAUGGACAUUGAAAAAUAUUCCGAGCAUUAUCUGGAAAAGGGGAAUGGGUAGACUGUUGAAUUCAGGCACCUGACCUCAUGUUCACUUCGUAAACCCCUCCCAUUUCCAAUGUUGCUACAACACCCGAGCCUGAGAUUAACCAAAACGAGGUGGUGGUUACUGGAUUCGGACUCAGCCACCUGGAACAGGGCGUGAGGUGGUGACAUUGAGACAAGUGGUCGAGGCAAGGGUGGGAAUAGUGACCAAGCCAUCUCUCCCAGGAACCCAGAUUAUCGUCCUCUCUGGAGGCGUCAUCAUCACGGGACAGUGCGGAAGAGGGGAGGGAGAACCGGCACUUCUUCAUAUCAUUUCUUCUUGAAGUGGCGGUGGGUGGAUUACUGGGAAAACAAGGCCCAGCUACACAUUUCUGGAACAAGCACUCUCUUUUCCUCCCAUGUCCUCCAUUCAACUCAAGCACCUCUCAGGCACCCCGCUCUUGUUUCUCCUACCUUGAGGGGUCUCCACCUUUACCAGCCCUGGCUCCUCCCACUCCAGGGCCCUCCGCUCCAGUUCCCUUUUUUCUUUUUCUUUGGGGACGGAGUCUCGCUCUGUCACCCAGGCUGGAGUGCAGUGGCGCGAUCUCGGCUCACUGCACCCUCCGCCUCCCGGAUUCAAGCGAUUCUCCUGCCUCAGCCUCCUGAGUAGCUGGGAUUACAGGCGGGCGCCACCACGCCCGGCUAAUUUUUGUAUUUUUAUUGGAGACGGGGUUUCACCAUGUUGGUCAGGCUGGUCUCGAACAGUUCCCAUUUUUCAAUUUCAGUCUGUCUCCUUCUCCGGGGCCUGUAGAUCCCCGGCCCCUCCGGCCUGCCUGCGGCCCAGAGUUUCCUCGCCUCCCAGCCCUCCCAGCCCGGAGCCCCUCAGGCCCUCUCCGAUCCUUGCCGGGGAGUCCCCUCACCAACAUGAUCACUCCCCAGGCGCUGAGGACGAUGCCGCAGGCGGCCAGCUUCGGCCCACAGCACAGGAGCGACGCCAUAAAGAAGGGAGUCGGGGAUCGCCGAGGUGCAAGCGGGCUCGGAAAGCGGUGGGAGAAAGCCCAGGAUGCCCUCGCAGGGGGGCAGAGGGGGCGUGGCCCCGGCCUCAACCAUCCCAUCCGGGGGCGGCAGGCGGAAAAGGCUGGGCUCCUCUCAGGACUUUCGCGGGAGACGGCGCCGUCUGAAACCAAAACUGCUCCUGGGGAAACCUUCCUUGACCUCUGUAGCUAGGGCGUGAGUAUUGGAAGAGCGAGGGCCUCCGGUUUGUUGGUCCCCCUCCCCCCGCACACGGGAAUGGAAGGAGCUGGUAUGUCACGUGACCAAGCCUGUCACGUCACGUGACGAGGAACUAGCCUUAGCGAGGCCAUGGGGGAAAAAGUCUAACUGGCGGAACUCCUGGGAACUGGGGCGAUGGGCUCUUAGUAUCGGAGGAUUGGAGCCAUCUGAUUUUUACCUGAAAUUCCUUAGUCUCUCCUGUGUUGGGGAAAUGGUCACCUUGCCUUCAGGGACCUGGGCUUUCAGCUGUCCAUACCUGGCCCUGGUUGAUGGCGGCAUGCUGGGCAGUGCACGUGAAGACGCACAUGAGACCGGGACUUGCUGUGUUGCCCAGGCUGGUCUUGAACUCCUGGUCUUAAGCAAUCAUACUGCUUUGGCCACCCAAAGCACUGGGAUUACAGGCGUGAACCACCACACCCAGCUCUUAAAACCACAGUAUUUCUAGCACAGGACUGCACCAAGGGGCAAUGCAGUACUGCAGCCUUCCUCUGACUCAGUUUGGAUUCUCUCUGUCCGUUCUCACCACACUACUAAGGAGAGAACAGUGCCAGGCAGGGGAAGGAGAGGUACCUGAAGUUCUUUCUCCAGUUGAGCCUGAAGCUCUUCCAUCCCCGAGGGCAGCACUAGCCUGGAGGGCAGAGAGGUCGAGCGUCUCAACAGCAUGGGGUUGGCACCAUUGAGGAACUGGUAGCUGAACAACUCAUCAUCCUGCCAGCACUGGCGAACCUUCUCUUUGGUGGGCGGUGAAAGGAGGAUAUAUGUACCACAGCCUGCAUAUCCCUUCUCCAAAAUCUACCCCAGGGGUUCAGGUAUAUAACCCUCCCUGAACCCAGCUUCUGCGUUUUCAUUCUCAAGGCCUCUCUGAGUUGACCAGAUAUGAUAAGGUCUCUUCUUGCAAAGAGUUACGGGGGACUGUGGAGUGUGAUGAGUCAUCCAGAGGGGCCAUUAAGGGAUUAUGGAGACCUCGGGGAACCACUGACCAGCCAGGGCACUCUUCUGGCCCCAGAAGAUCUGAUCAAAGUCUUCUAGGCAGUUCCAGGAGCUCAGGAGGGUGUAAACACGUUUGAGGGCCAUCUCCAGAGCCCUAGGACAGGUAUUGAGGCUUAACUCAUCAGCUGAUCCCUCAGUCCCUCACCGUCUAUCAUCAUUCUUGGCCCUCCCAGCCCUUAUUUCACUCCGAGGUCUAGCCUUUUUCUCACCCUGCCUUCAGUGUCCAUUCAAAGUCCAGCCUCUUCUCCUCAUGGAAUCUCAUAUUUGGAGGUAGAUCAUCCUUACGGUCUGCAGCGAUGGUCAGGGGUAACCCUUCCUUCCAGGUGGCCCAGCUAGGAGUUGGGGACAAAGCUUCAGGAAGGAUGUCAUGGUCAGUGAUGGGGCCAGGGGCAGGGGCAGGGGCAGGGAAGGGGUGGGACAGUGGUGGCGGGGUUAGUUUAAGGGGUGGGUGGUCACCAGUAGAUCUGCUGUCUGUCUUUCAGUUCCUUCUCUCGAUGCUUCUGGAACAUGUCCAAAGCAUUGUCUCCUGGCAGGCGGGCUGGGGAGACAUCAAGACAAUUGGCCUCACGGCUCUGUCUGGUCCUAUGCCCGCCUCUUGUCCUCAUCUCCCUGUGGUUAGCCGUAUUCCAUGUUUUCAGCCAUGCACUGUUGCUUUUAUCUCUGGCUUUGCCUCAUUUGAUUAUCCACCAGACACGUUUAUCCCAUCUUUGCCAACUUUGCACUCCUGCUUUCUCUUAUUUCAGCCCUCAUCCUUUGCCUGUAGAUAAAAACCUCCUGUUUGCCACCAUUUCUUGCUCCUUCACUCAUCUUCCCCUACCUGGCCUUACUUCAUCAAUAUCUAUGGUUGGAAAAAAAUCACCUUAAUUAAGGUGAUGAAAUCUUAGUCACCUAUACACCUACACCUACUGUCUACUACAGAUUGCUUUGAUUAAUUUCACAUCUUAAACCUCACCUGCCACGCCUUCACCUGUCCUCAAAAGAUUCUACAUUUGCUUUUUUUUUUUUAAACCUCAUCUUUCUGGAUUUACUAUCAUAAUCUGUAUCUAUGGACUUAUUCUGGGUCUUUUCUGCAUUUACACUCACCUGUCUCAAAGUCAUAGAUUUGAUGUUCCAUCCCUACUGCCCUCACUCAUCUCUGGAUUCAUCUCUCUUUUACUCAUUACCCAUGGUUAAAAAUUCACUAUUUGGGCCGGGCGUGGUGGCUCAAGCCUGUAAUCCCAGCACUUUGAGAGGCCAAGGAGGGCGGAUCACGAGGUCAGGAGAUCGAGACCAUCCUGGCUAAUACGGUGAAACUCCAUCUCUACUAAAAAAAAUAUAAAAAAU
rnacentral:lncRNA from 1 species